rnacentral:lncRNA from 1 species
ACCCGGCGGCCGUGGUCCCUGCGCGCGGCACGAGGCAUGGUAUCUCCCAGAAUAUCCUGUGAAUGUUCGCAUUAGUCUGCUCAUCAGAUUGCUUUCCAACCAAAAAAUACUGUGUUCUACAAAGGAGGAGCAUCUUUAUCUCAAAGCAGCAGUUCUUAUCGCCAAGUAUUCAGCAUCUCUUUGGAAUUCAUUUGUCAGCCUCUCUGGUUCCGGGAGCUGUAUUUGCCUAUCUUAGUUUGCUGAGUGCAGCGAAGAAUCUAGAACAGUGGUUCUCACACCAGCAUCAUUUGCAUCCAGUGUGAGCUUCUUUGAAAUGCAAAUUUGAAGGCCUCACCCCAAACUACUGAAUCAGAAUCUCUGGUGUUGGGGCCCCAGGAGACUACUUAAGCAAGCUCUCCUGGGGAUGCCUGUGCCCCCCCAGAGUUUGAGAAUGAUUGCUCCAGAAGAAUACCUAUACAGGGCUGCACUGAAGCCCGGGGGUAAAAAGAAAACAGAGGUUAACUUGCUUCGAGAUAUCCUGCUGACAAGAUAUGACUUGGUCUCUCCGACAUAUGUGACUCCCAACCCAACUAGUUCCUAGCUUGCUGUUUCUAAAGGACCCCAAAUGUAGACUUUUGCCCCUUUUGAAGUCAAGAUCAGAAGUUCUCAGGAUUUUAAAAUGUCAGGCUUCCCUAUUGCCCCCAAAUUGUUCAAAGUCCUUUGAUAGUAGGCAUACUUUUAUGUGCAUACUGUUUAUAUAUUUGAGGAAAUAUAUAAUGAACAAAGUCUAUUAAUUUAAAAAAUUACAAAUUCAUUUAAAAGAAUUAUGAAAUUAAGUAGCAAAGUGUAUUUUUAAAUAAUAGUACAUAUAUGUAUGAGAUACUCAUUUUACAGAUAAUGCUUGGUGGAUUACAUAUUUGGAUUCAUAGCAAUGUCUUCAACUUACUCCUUGGCCCCUUCAAUCCCUGUUUGGGAACCACUGCUCUAGACCAAAGGAAAUGAAGCAUAGCGAGAGUUUGGAGUCCCUUCUUUCACUGGAACAAGGCCUGCCUUCUGCACUUUAGUAUACUGUUUAAGAGGUUGGCAUUUGGGGAAGUGAUUAAGUUAUGAGGGUUCUGCUCUCAUGAAUUUGAUUAGUGCCUCAUAAAAGGACUGGAGGGAAUUAGCUUGGGCCGUUUUUGCCCUUCUGUCCUGCCAUGUGAAGGCCCCUAGGUGGCACCAUGAGGAAUGGGCCUUCAGCAGACACCAAACCUGCUGGUGCCUUGACCUUGGACUUCUCAGCCUUCAGAACUGUGAGAAAUAAAUUUCUGUUAUUUGCAAAUGACACAGUUGCAGCUAUUUCAUUAUAGCAGCACAAACAGACUACCCUUAUAGCUAGAACUUCAGAGGCACAAGCAUAUCAAAAUACAGCCUAAAAGCCUGGUGUCUACAAGAGCUGUACAUUUAUAGAGCUGGGCAGACAUUUGUUAUACAAAUUCAGAUUGUACAGAUUACAGUGAGAAUGAACUUCAGUUAAAUAUAUGUAGUUUUUAAUAAACUUUUAAUUGAAAUAUACACAAAAAUGCACACAAAUCACAAGUGCAUAGCUCAGGGAGUUUUUACAGAGUGAACAUAGCUGUCUAUCAAUACUCAGGCCAAGAACAGGAAAUUUAUCUCUCCUCCAGAAAGCCCCUGGAGCGCCAUCCUAAAUCCUCCCCCUUGAGUAACCAGCCCCAAGCCCUCUAACACCGUAGAUUAGUUUUGCCUUUUUUGAACUUUGUUUAAUUAUAUAAUAUGUGCUUUUUAAUGUCUGACUGCUUUUGCUCAAGUUAGUGAGAGUCAUCCACGUUGUAGGAAUAGUUUGUUCAUUCUUGCUGCUAAAUAGCAUAUGAUUGUUUGAGUCUACUACCAUUUAUUUGUUCUGAAUUUGGUUGUUUCCAGUUUGGCCUUCUCAUGAAGAGAACCAUUAAGGACAUGUUUGUCCUUGUCUUUUGGUAGACAUACACUCAUUUCUUGUGGGCAUAUGUCUAGGAGUGGGAUUGCUGGAUUGCAGUGUAUCUAUAUGUUCAUCAUACACUGCUGAACAGUUUUCUGAGUGAUUGCACCCGCACUUGAGCUUGGACACAGGAUAAGGAUGGCCACUAUCAUCACUUCUGUUCUAUACUGUAUAGUUAUAGCAACAAGUGAGGAAAAUUAAGAAGUGGUAUAAUGAUUGGAAAGGAUGAAACAAAGUUGAUAUUAUAGCCAAUAUAUUGUACACAUAGAAAAUCCAAAGUAAUCUACAGGUCAACUAUUAGAUUAAUAAGUGAAUUUAGGCUAGGUGCAGUGGCUCACACCUGUAAUCCGAGCACUUUGGGAAGUCAAAGUGGGAGGAUCACUUGAGGCCAGUAGUUGGAGACCAGCCUGGGUAACAUAGUGAGACUCCAUCUCUAAAAAUAAAAAAAUUAGAAAAAAAAAUUGAAUUUAGAGAUGUCUUUGAAAACAAAGUCAAUAUAAGAAAAAGCAGUUGUAUUUUUUUUUUUUUUUUUGAUGGAGUCACUCUGUCGCCCAGGCUGGAGUGCAGCGGUGCAAUCUCAGCUCAUUGCAACCUCUGCCUCCUGGGUUCACGCCAUUCUCCCGCCUCAGCCUCCCAAGUAGUUGGGAAUACAGGUGCCCGCCACCACGCCUGGCUAAUUUUUUAGUAGAGAUGGGGUUUCACCGUGUUAGCCAGUAUAGUCUUGAUCUCCUGACCUCGUGAUCCGCCCACCUUGGCCUCCCAAAGUGCUGGGAUUACAGGUGUGAGCCACUGCGCCCGGCAGAAAAAGCAGUUGUAUUUCUACAUAGCAACAGCAACUAGAAAAUUUUUAAACAUUGGAAUAUAAACUAUUCCGAAAAAUUCUUAACAAAAGAUUAGCAAAACCUCUAGUCUGAAAACCACAACAUAUCACUCAGAGGAAUGAAAGAAGAGCUAAAUAAAUGGAAGGAUAUACGAUGUAAUGUCUUGGAAACUUUAGUAUUGUAAAGUUGCCAGUGCUUCUCAAAGUCAUGUAUGAAUUCAGUGCAAUCUCAAUCAAAAUCUCACCAUAUUUUUGUAGUGGAAAUUGACAAGCUGAUGCUACCAUUUACAAAUAAAAAUGCAAGGGGCCAAGAAUAGCCAAAAUAAUCUUAAGGAAGAAGAAAAUGGAAGUUUUACCUCACCAGAUAAUAAGAUUUACUCUAAAGCUACGAUAAUUAAAACAGCGUGUUCUUAGUGUGAAGAUAGACAAAUAGAAGAAUGGAACAGAAUAGAGUCUAAAGAAGAACUCAAGGGCCAAAAGUAGCCAAGAAGAACAGAUCUGGAAGACAUUAUCCCUCCAGAUAUCAAGAUCUCUUAUAAAGAUAUGUGGUAUCGACGCAAGGAAAGGCAAGCUGACCAAGGCAAGCUGACCAGUGGAACUAAACAAAGUCCAGAAACAGGUUCACACAUAUAGUCAUCCGGUGUGUAUCUUUGUGUGUGUGUAUUUCACAAAGGCUUAAAGUAAUGUGUCUUCAAUAAAUGGUGCUACAUCCAAAAGAGCAUAACUAUAUGUUUCCAUUUUAUAUGAAGUUCAAAAAUAGACAACAGAAUAGUGAUUACCUCUGGAGGCAGCUGGGGGCUGCCUCUGGUAGGGUGGGGGUGUUGCCUGGGAAGAAGCAUGAGAGAAUCUUCAGGGGUCCUGGAAAUAUUCCAUAUCUUGAUUUGGUUGGUGGUACACUGUUGUGUAUAAUAUACACGUAUUUGUACAUGUGUGUAUAAAAUGUCAUUGAGCUCCACAUUUAAGAUUUUUUGGACUUUAUUAUAUGUAUGCUAACCUCAAUAAAACUAAAAAAUUCCUCACUCGAGUGAAAACUUUUUUAAUUUAAAUAAAAAUAAACGGUAUUUCAUUUAGAAAUGGAAACCAGGCACAUUAUCUUACACAGUAUUUCAUAAACUACCAUCACCUAGUGAAUAUAGCAAAAGACUGUAUAUGGCUUCAAAGCCACAUAAUGCACCUAAAUUCUCUAAAAUUGCCAGCAAUUACAAAGUGAUAGAUAUGAGCCACAUAGGAUCAAGAUGGGGAUUCACUCAUUCCAUAUUUUGGAGCCACAAAGUAUAUCUGCUGCCUAGGUUUGGACCAAAUGCAAUUAAUGUAUCAAACAAAAAAUCCUAAUAUUUAUUCAGCUUCAUCCACAGCCUCCA